GACGAACGCUGGCGGCGUGCUUAACACAUGCAAGUCGAACGGAAAGGCCCUGCUUGCAGGGUACUCGAGUGGCGAACGGGUGAGUAACACGUGGGUGAUCUGCCCUGCACUUCGGGAUAAGCCUGGGAAACUGGGUCUAAUACCGGAUAUGACCUUCCAUGUAGUGUGGGGGGUGGAAAGAUUUAUCGGUGUGGGAUGAGCCCGAGGCCUAUCAGCUUGUUGGUGGGGUACUGGCCUACCAAGGCGUCGACGGGUAGCCGGCCUGAGAGGGUGGACGGCCACAUUGGGACUGAGAUACGGCCCAGACUCCUACGGGAGGCAGCAGUGGGGAGUAUUGCACAAUGGGAGGAAGCCUGAUGCAGCGACGCCGCGUGGGGGAUGACGGCCUUCGGGUUGUAAACCUCCUUCGACAGGGACGAAGCUUCGGUGACGGUACCUGUAUAAGAAGCACCGGCUAACUACGUG
rnacentral:rRNA from 1 species